rnacentral:rRNA from 1 species
CGAACUGGUGAGUAUCAGGUGGGUAAUGUGCCCUGAAGUGGNGGAUAACACCGGGAAACCGGUGCUAAUACCGCAUGUGAUCUUUGGCUUCACGGAGCCGAAGGUUAAAGCAGUAGUGCGCUUCAGGAUCGGCCCGCCCCCGAUUAGCUAGUUGGUGAGGUCAAGGCUCACCAAGGCACCGAUCGGUAGCUGGUCUGAGAGGAUGGUCAGCCACACUGGAACUGAGAUACGGUCCAGACUCCUACGGGGGGCAGCAGUCUAGAGGCUUCGGCAAUGGGGGCAACCCUGACCGAGCGACGCCGCGUGUGGGAUUGAAGGCCUUCGGGUCGUAAACCACUGUCAUUGGGGAAGAAUGCCCGGAUGGUGAAUCCGGGAGGGACGGUACCCAAGGAGGAAGCCCCGGCUAUCCGUGCCAGCCGCCGCG